rnacentral:rRNA from 1 species
UGGGGAAUCUUGCACAAUGGGGGAAACCCUGAUGCAGCGACGCCGCGUGAGCGAUGAAGCCCUUCGGGGGUGUAAAGCUCUUUCGGCAGGAACGAUUAUGACGGUACCUGCAGAAGAAGCUGCGGCUAACUACGUGCCAGCAGCCGCGGUAAUACGUAGGCAGCAAGCGUUGUUCGGAAUUACUGGGCGUAAAGAGUGUGUAGGCGGUUGUCUAAGUUUGGUGUGAAAUCUCCCGGCUCAACUGGGAGGGUGCGCCGAAAACUGGACGGCUGGAGUAUGGGAGAGGAAAGCGGAAUUCCUGGUGUAGCGGUGAAAUGCGUAGAUAUCAGGAGGAACACCUGCGGUGUAGACGGCUUUCUGGACCAUCACCGACGCUGAGACACGAAAGCGUGGGUAGCAAACAGGAUUAGAUACCCUGGUAGUCCACGCCCUAAACGAUGCACAUUUGGUGUGGGUCAUUCAGUUGAUCUGUGCCGGAGCUAACGCGUUAAAUGUGCCGCCUGGGGAGUACGGUCGCAAGGCUG